AACGGGACGGUGCCAGAUCGGUCCAAAUACGGCGUGUACGCAACAGAGAUAUACUCUCGUGUGGCAACAGAUAUCAUACGCCAUCACAAUACCAAUCAGCCUUUGUUUUUGUACAUGCCAUUCCAACUCGUUCACGAACCGGUUCAAGUCCCAAAAAGAUUUGAAAGCCUAUAUGAUGGGUUAGUUCCGAGUGGCGUGAGGAAAACGUAUUUAGGUAUGGUGUCCGCUUUGGACAAGACAGUAUCCGAUAUUGUGGAGAGUUUGAUACAGCGGGAUAUGCUUGAGAACUCCUUGAUUGU